rnacentral:rRNA from 1 species
CCUACGGGAGGCAGCAGUGGGGAAUCUUGCGCAAUGGCCGAGAGGCUGACGCAGCGACGCCGCGUGGGGGAUGAAGCAUUUCGGUGUGUAAACCCCUGUUGCUCGGGACGAACGAUCCUUUUCGAGGGAUGUGACGGUACCGAGUGAGGAAGCACCGGCUAACUCUGUGCCAGCAGCCGCGGUAAUACAGAGGGUGCGAGCGUUGUCCGGAAUCACUGGGCGUAAAGGGCGCGUAGGUGGCUUGGUAAGCGUGCGGUGAAAGCUCGGGGCUCAACCCCGAGUCUGCCAUGCGAACUGCCGAGCUUGAGUAUGGUAGAGGCAGGUGGAAUUCCGGGUGUAGCGGUGGAAUGCGUAGAUAUCCGGAAGAACACCGGUGGCGAAGGCGGCCUGCUGGGCCAUUACUGACACUGAGGCGCGACAGCGUGGGGAGCAAACAGGAUUAGAUACCCUGGUAGUCCACGCCGUAAACGAUGGGCACUAGGUGCUUGGGGGAGCGGCCCCCUGAGUGCCGGCGCUAACGCAUGAAGUGCCCCGCCUGGGGAGUACGGCCGCAAGGCUGAAACUCAAAGGAAUUGACGG